GAAUGAAAUAUUGGCCUGAAAAGGCCAAUGUGAAAUACGUCUUCGACGUGUGAAAUAUUGAACUGCAGGCAGUUCAAUGUGAAAUAUCCG
rnacentral:sRNA from 1 species